GAUCAUGGCUCAGGACGAACGCUGGCGGCGUGCCUAACACAUGCAAGUCGAACGGACUGAUUUGAGAGCUUGCUCUUGAUGAAAGUUAGUGGCGGACGGGUGAGUAACGCGUGAGUAACCUGCCUUUCAGAGGGGGAGUAACAUUCUGAAAAGGAAUGCUAAUACCGCAUAACAUCUUAGUAUCGCAUGGUAUUGAGAUCAAAGGAGCAAUCCGCUGGAAGAUGG
rnacentral:rRNA from 1 species